GGUUGUCAUUGGACCGUACUAUAUCUAACAGAACUCAAGCUUUUGUUGGUUUGGAUGUUUUCACUUCAUACUGAGGUAAGAACAUGUGUCAAUAUUUUUACCGCAGCUUAGAUUUGUUUGUCUUGUAUCAUUUUAUCUGUGCCUAUAUAUAGACAUGUUUCAGCAAUACCAAACAAAUGCCACAUUCCUCAAUAAAUUAAGGGCACUGCAGGAGAUCAACAAGCUUUUAAACGGACAAGUGGCGGUUGUUGUCUGCCAUCACAUAGUCAAGACAAAGCACCCUUGGUGAAGUUCUGGCCAUGUUCAUUUCAAGAAAUUAAUGUAGCGAACAGUUGGGAAGUUAGUUGGCUACUAACUCCCGACGACGGGCCUUCGCUCGAAACUAAAUCCCUAUCCAUCCGCAGUAUUCUGGAGUUUUUGUCACUACCUACCCUGGAACACACCGUUCAAGUUUAUAUCUAACUAAAAAGGUUUUGGACCUCUACACUCGAUAUAGCUAAUUGUAGAUGGGUUUUUGUAAACGUUUUCGCAAGUUUAGUAAAUCAAAAACGGCAACAGCUGACCGAUAAUACUUACUUGUGCAUGUGGUACUUCGGAUGUUACGUCCAAGUAAUUCCAGGAAAUACAAGAUUUCG